rnacentral:rRNA from 1 species
CCUACGGGUGGCAGCAGUGGGGAAUAUUGCGCAAUGGGCGAAAGCCUGACGCAGCGACGCCGCGUGAGGGAUGACGGUCUUCGGAUCGUAAACCUCUGUCAGCAGGGAAGCACGGUCACUGUGCUAAUCAGCAGUGAAUUGACGGUACCUGCAAAGGAAGCACCGGCUAACUCCGUGCCAGCAGCCGCGGUAAUACGGAGGGUGCGAGCGUUAAUCGGCAUUACUGGGCGUAAAGCGCUCGUAGGCGGUAUGUCAAGUCAAGGGGGAAAUCCCCGCGCUCAACGUGGGAACUGCCUUUGAAACUGGCAAACUGGAGUGUGUGAGAGGAUAGUGGAAUUCCAGGUGUAGGAGUGAAAUCCGUAGAUAUCUGGAGGAACAGCAGUGGCGAAGGCGACUAUCUGGCACAUAACUGACGCUGAGGAGCGAAAGCGUGGGUAGCAAACAGGAUUAGAUACCCGGGUAGUC